rnacentral:snoRNA from 2 species
AAUCUGCCUAUGAUGAUGAACUUUAUUUGAUAUAUGUUAUGAUAAUAAAAAACAUUAUCUUUCGCUCCUAUCUGAGGCAGUUG